GUCGAGCGGGGAGAGGUAGCUUGCUACAUUUCCUAGCGGCGGACGGGUGAGUAAUGCUUAGGAAUCUGCCUAUUAGUGGGGGACAACAUUCCGAAAGGAAUGCUAAUACCGCAUACGCCCUACGGGGGAAAGCAGGGGAUCUUCGGACCUUGCGCUAAUAGAUGAGCCUAAGUCAGAUUAGCUAGUUGGUGGGGUAAAGGCCUACCAAGGCGACGAUCUGUAGCGGGUCUGAGAGGAUGAUCCGCCACACUGGGACUGAGACACGGCCCAGACUCCUACGGGAGGCAGCAGUGGGGAAUAUUGGACAAUGGGCGCAAGCCUGAUCCAGCCAUGCCGCGUGUGUGAAGAAGGCCUUUUGGUUGUAAAGCACUUUAAGCGAGGAGGAGGCUACUUGGAUUAAUACUCUAGGAUAGUGGACGUUACUCGCAGAAUAAGCACCGGCUAACUCUGUGCCAGCAGCCGCGGUAAUACAGAGGGUGCGAGCGUUAAUCGGAUUUACUGGGCGUAAAGCGUGCGUAGGCGGCUUUUUAAGUCGGAUGUGAAAUCCCUGAGCUUAACUUAGGAAUUGCAUUCGAUACUGGGAAGCUAGAGUAUGGGAGAGGAUGGUAGAAUUCCAGGUGUAGCGGUGAAAUGCGUAGAGAUCUGGAGGAAUACCGAUGGCGAAGGCAGCCAUCUGGCCUAAUACUGACGCUGAGGUACGAAAGCAUGGGGAGCAAACAGGAUUAGAUACCCUGGUAGUCCAUGCCGUAAACGAUGUCUACUAGCCGUUGGGGCCUUUGAGGCUUUAGUGGCGCAGCUAACGCGAUAAGUAG
rnacentral:rRNA from 1 species